GCCCCUGUACUCCAACCGGGAGAGAGACGGAGCUCAAACCUCCGACAGUGUGGGUUCGAAUCCCACCGGGGGCACAA
rnacentral:tRNA from 1 species